UGGGGAAUUUUGGACAAUGGGGGCAACCCUGAUCCAGCCAUCCCGCGUGUGCGAUGAAGGCCUUCGGGUUGUAAAGCACUUUUGGCAGGAAAGAAACGGCGCUGGUUAAUACCUGGCGCAAUUGACGGUACCUGCAGAAUAAGCACCGGCUAACUACGUGCCAGCAGCCGCGGUAAUACGUAGGGUGCAAGCGUUAAUCGGAAUUACUGGGCGUAAAGCGUGCGCAGGCGGUUCGGAAAGAAAGAUGUGAAAUCCCAGGGCUUAACCUUGGAACUGCAUUUUUAACUACCGGGCUAGAGUGUGUCAGAGGGGGGUGGAAUUCCACGUGUAGCAGUGAAAUGCGUAGAUAUGUGGAGGAACACCGAUGGCGAAGGCAGCCCCCUGGGAUAACACUGACGCUCAUGCACGAAAGCGUGGGGAGCAAACAGG
rnacentral:rRNA from 1 species